rnacentral:rRNA from 1 species
AUUGAACGCUGGCGGCAUGCCUUACACAUGCAAGUCGAACGGCAGCACGGGAGCAAUCCUGGUGGCGAGUGGCGAACGGGUGAGUAAAGUAUCGGAACGUGCCCAGUCGUGGGGGAUAACGUAGCGAAAGUUACGCUAAUACCGCAUACGAUCUAUGGAUGAAAGCGGGGGAUCGCAAGACCUCGCGCGAUUGGAGCGGCCGAUAUCAGAUUAGGUAGUUGGUGGGGUAAAGGCUCACCAAGCCGACGAUCCGUAGCUGGUCUGAGAGGCACUACCAGCCACACUGGGACUGAGACACGGCCCAGACUCCUACGGGAGGCAGCAGUGGGGAAUUUUGGACAAUGGGCGCAAGCCUGAUCCAGCCAUGCCGCGUGCAGGAUGAAGGCCUUCGGGUUGUAAACUGCCUUUGUACGGAACGAAAAGGUUUGACUUAAUACGUUGGACUCAUGACGGUACCGUAAGAAUAAGCACCGGCUAACUACGUGCCAGCCGCCGCCGUAAUAC